AUUGAACGCUGGCGGCAGGCCUAACACAUGCAAGUCGAGCGGAUGAAGGGAGCUUGCUCCUGGAUUCAGCGGCGGACGGGUGAGUAAUGCCUAGGAAUCUGCCUGGUAGUGGGGGAUAACGUCCGGAAACGGGCGCUAAUACCGCAUACGUCCUGAGGGAGAAAGUGGGGGAUCUUCGGACCUCACGCUAUCAGAUGAGCCUAGGUCGGAUUAGCUAGUUGGUGGGGUAAAGGCCUACCAAGGCGACGAUCCGUAACUGGUCUGAGAGGAUGAUCAGUCACACUGGAAGUGAGACACGGUCCAGACUCCUACGGGAGGCAGCAGUGGGGAAUAUUGGACAAUGGGCGAAAGCCUGAUCCAGCCAUGCCGCGUGUGUGAAGAAGGUCUUCGGAUUGUAAAGCACUUUAAGUUGGGAGGAAGGGGAGUAAGUUAAUACCUUGCUGUUUUGACGUUAACAACAGAAUAAGCACCGGCGAACUUCG
rnacentral:rRNA from 1 species